UAUUAAAAGGGGAAUACGAAGCUCUCUCAGGUAUGCCACGUUGGAUUAAAAAUUCAGCCAAUGAGAGAGUUUGAUUUUGCCACAUCACUAUCGCUGACUCAGAGUGGGCAUUUCGUGUGGGCUAUGUAAAUUAUAAUUCGGCUCAUCUCAGCCCAAAACCAUAUUCGUGUAAAGCUUUCCAUUUUCUUGCGCCGACUUUUCCACUUCCUCUUCUUUCCUCUUCUCUGAUCUCUGAGUUCUUGCAUUGUCUUAACAAUCAAUGAUGAUCUUUAACAUUUUCUUAAAUGUUUCGUUUCACCUCCUCUUAUUCCUCCUGUAUAAAGGCCUAUGUCUAAACUUAAAUCCACCAAAAAUGAUAAACUUAUUAUGAAUAAGCUACAUUCACGGCUAUGAAAUCCACCAGAAAAUCUUGGCUCUCCACCGUAAAUGGCCGUUGAUUACAACAAAUCUCACCAGGACCAGGUCACUCAGAUCAAUCAUGCAUGUGAUUAAGAUCUUAUCCACGUCUCAAUUCUUCUGUUUAUUCAAGGAAACUGAUGUAUUUUAUUUUCAGAUAAUUUUCUCUGUUAUAUAUUUUUUUUUUGAACUUAAUUUUCUCUGUUAUAUUGGUAUGGUUUUAAUUGGUUUUAAGCUCUGUUGUUCAUGUUGUAGUUCUCUGUAUUCUUAAAAAUGUUGAAAAAGAAAGCAAUGUUUUUUAGCUGCUAGAGCUUCAGGAACAGAGAAUCGAGAUGAUAUUAAUGUGCUAUGGUUGGAAUACUUGCUAAGUCCAAAGAGUCAAGAGUUGGUAUUAGAGAGAUUCACGUCUUAGGAUUCAGUCCCAUCAACAUAUAACAAUGGUAAUGGAGACUGGCACCAAGUAAGCAAAGGGGGCUCCAGAGCAGAUUCUUAAUCUUUGCAACAGAAGAGCUGAUCUGAGGAAGAGAGACCACUUGGCAAUCUAAGUAUGCUCGGUCAUUAACUGUUCCAAGACGGAUACCUAAGAAAAAAAAAUAUCUGGUGGUCCAUGGGAAUUUGUUGUGGUUGCCUUUGUUUGAUCCUCCACGACAUGAUAGUGCAGCACCAUUAGAAGAGCUUCAGACCUCUGUGUCAACAUCAAUGAUCACUGGUGAUCAUUUUGCUAUUGCCAAAGAGACUUGACGUAAGCUCGGUAUCGGAUCAAACAUGUAUUAUGUAUCCGUAGCAUCACCUUCUCUACUUGGAUAAGAAAGCCAUCCGAGGGAGUUUAGGCAAUCAAGUGACGUUUUUAUAAUCUCUUGAUUCCAAACUCUGAGAUAUAACAUUAAGCAGAAUGCAGAGAAGUCUUGGAGAUGCGUUGUUUUCAAUAGGGAUCUGGUCUAACGACUCAACUAUUCCGAGUAAUGAUUUCUGAUAUAUACUAUUUGACAUUUUUGGGUGUUCUACUUCUUGACAAUGGUAGUUACUGGUCAACAAGCAGAUGAAAGGCAAGGACUUAAAACUCUGCUUUUCUCAGUUUAAAUCUAUAAAUGUGGUAUUAGUAUCAGGUCCAGGAUGAUAGUAGUGGGUACAUGAUGAUCCUUUCCUGUGUGCAGACGGUGGAUAGAUUGAUUGAAACUGGAGAUGGUGAGCAUACUAUUCAGAAAGCAAUCAUGGAGCAAGGAAGAGGGCAGGUUGUUAUUUAGGUUUCGGCAAGAGCGUGACUACAUCUGCAUCAAAACAAUUGUUACGUGUAUCUCCAGUUAGGUUUUUCCUGCCUCUGUGCAUGCAGAUAAUAAAUUUUGGAUACUGUGGCUGAGAUUCGGGAACGGCGUGACGCUUUCAGAGGUUAGAGAAGAAACUCCUCCACAUUGUAGGUUAUAAUAAAAAUAAUGAACCUGAGGGUGUCUAAAAAGACGCUGAAUUGAUGAAUGCUUCUGAAAUCUGAAGGGUCCAGGUGCUACGAGGGGAAGAUGUAGAAGAGUUUCAAAGCCAGAUGAAAGUUAACUUUGUCUAUAUGUGUUCUUAGAAACCUUGAACCGUUUGCAUGGAAUGAAAUUGUUCAAUGAA